CACAAAAUAUAAUUCCUCAAGGAUGUAAAGAUAAAUGUAUUAGUGAACUCACCUGAAUAUUUUCUGCUUCGUCCUUACAUCCAUGAAAAUCUAUAGAUGUUAAUGAGGGAUCUUUUUUCUCACAGCUCUCCAGACUGAGGAGCAUGUCUGCAUAGUUGGGCUGGGGGAAGAUCAAGUGACUCUCCCUGGAGUCCGUGGUGAGGGAGACCUCGUGGGAAUACGUCUGCAGGAAAGCCCGCACCCCAUCCACGCCCACAAAGCGCGAGGCGGGCACGCCAGCCAAUCCACCCCCCGCAGCCUGGAGCAGACGCGAUGAGCGCCAGCGCCUCAGUCUGAGAGCCAGCAGCACGAUCACAAAGGCAAGGAAGACGCAGGAGACUGCGGCCACCGCCACCACCAGGUACAGCGUGAGACCUGAGGCAUCAGGGUCAGCUGGGGGCUCGAGACUGCCCAGGUCGGCCAGGACGUCUGGAAUGCUGUCGGCCACCGCCACCGUGAGCGUGACGGUGGCCGAGAGAGGGGGUUGGCCGUGGUCUUGCACUGCCACCACCAGGCUCUGCUUGAGCGCAUCUCUGUCCUGCAGGGCCCGCGCUGUGCGCACCUCGCCCGUGUGCAGCCCCACCGCGAAAAGCCCUGGCUCGCUGGCCUUGAGCAGGCGGUAGGACAACCAGGCGUUCUGGCCAGAGUCUCUAUCCACCGCCACCACCUUGGUUACCAGGUAGCCGGGCUCUGCCGAUCGGGGUGCCAGCUCCACGCCUGUGGAACCGUCGGUGGGGAGGGCGGGGUACAGGAUCUCCGGUGUGUUGUCAUUCUGGUCAAGAAUGAAUAUACUCAAGGACACAUUGCUGCUAAGCGGUGGGUCUCCGCUGUCCUGCGCAGUCACUCUCAGUUGCAGGUCACGGAAUUGCUCAUAGUCGAAGGAAUGCAAGGCAUACAGGACACCAGUGUCAGAGUUGAUGGACACAUAGGAGGAUAGGGGUGCCCCCCGGAGCGUGUCUUCAGACAGGGAGUAAGUGACUUGGGCAUUCUCAUGGCUGUCCGGGUCAUGUGCAGUCACAGAGAAGAUGGAGGCACCUCUGGGGUUGUUUUCAGGGAUGUAGACAGAAUAGGAGGAGUGGGGGAAGGCAGGUGGGUUGUCGUUGGUAUCUGCCACAUUCACUGAGAUGUGAGUUUCCAUGGACAAGGGUGGGGUUCCACCAUCUGUGGCUUUCAGUGUGAUGUUAUACACAGGGAGUUUUUCCCGGUCUAGUUUUUUCGCUGUCACCAACCUAUAAUAAUUGUCUACUGAUCUUUCUAAUUUAAAAGGCAGAUUUUCUGAAAUAGUGCAGGUCACCUCACCAUUCUUGCCGGAAUCUCGAUCUUGAAGGUAGAAAAGAGCAAUUACUGUUCCAGGAGGAGUGUCUUCAGGGAUUGAGUUGCUUACAGAUGUUAGAGUCACUUCUGGGGCAUUGUCAUUCACAUCUAAAAUUGUGAUAAUUACUUUAGCCCUUGUCAUGCUACCAGGACCGUCCUGAGCCUGAACUUCCAUUUCAUAGUAGCUGGACUCUUCAUAAUCUAGGCCUUCUGAAGUUGAUAAUUCUCCUGUAUGAGGGUUCAGUUGGAAUAUCUGUAGAAUUUUUUGAGUUAUUUUCCGGAAAGAAUAUGUCACUUCCCCAUUGACUCCCUCAUCCAGAUCGACAGCGUGUACUGUGAGCAAUCUUGUGCCCACUGGUACGUUCUCAGGGACAGUUACUUGGUACUGAGGCAAAGAGAAGACUGGCACGUGAUCAUUCACAUCCACCACAGUUACCUGGAUGCGGGCGGUUUCCGAUCGGGGUGGGUCACCGCCGUCAGAGGCUGUAAGGAGUAGGUGGUGAACAGCCUCUUCCUCUCUAUCCAGCACCCUUUCCAGCACUAAUUCUGGAUAUUUAGCUCCAUCAUCUCCAGUCUGCACAACCAGGGAGAAGUGACGAUUGGGACUGAGCUGGUAGCUCUGGAGGGAGUUCGUGCCCACAUCUGGAUCCCUAGCCUCAUUUAAGGGAAACCGCACCCCAGGAGCUGUGUUCUCCGUUAUUUUUACAGUCAUUUCUUCUGUCAAGAAUCUAGGAGAAUUGUCAUUAACAUCUAUUAUUUCCACUUCUAUAGGGUAAAGACUCAUUUUAUCCAUCAGGAUGUUAAAGUUCACCAGGCACCGUGCACUCUGAGCGCAGAGCUCCUCCCGGUCUAUUCUGCCUGCAGUGACCAAGCUGCCGCUUCGCGGAUUCAGAGCGAAAAGCUGUGUCCUACCUCUGGAGACGAUGCGGAUUCCGUGCUCUGCCAGUUCCCGGGGCUCCAGGCCCAGAUCCUUAGCGAUAUUACCCACAAAAGACCCUGUGUCUGUUUCCUCCGGCAAAGAGUAGAAAAUAUGUCCUGCCCAAGCUUCUCUCCGGGUCCCCAGGAGGAUGGAGAGCAGGAUGAAUCCUCUGUAGUCUCGACCCCUCUUCAGAGUCGCCAUUGUUGUCCUGCUGAUCUUGUUAGACACUGGACUAUCUCCUUUUGCGCUUAUGGAUGCCAGUGUGUCAGCGUGGAAUCCUUUGUAUUCAUAAGAGAAGCCCGGAAUUUAGUAUAAUAGAGACCGGAGUUUGAUGCAGCUUGGAAGAGAAUUUGUCUCAAUCUGAUGUUUCUUUGUACUGUAAAAUCUCGGUGGCUCUGGCAGAUCUUAUUGCAUCACUUUCCCCGUGGUUGGUGAACAGCGGCACUCAGAGUCCUUACUAAGUUACUGCACCAUAUUGAAGCAAGAUAACUGAUUUUUCAGAAAGUUGUUUUAUCCUUCAAAAUCCUUCCAUUUAUAUGUCUUCGAUAUAUAUAUCUAACUUAAAAAUACAUUCCAGUUAAAUGAAAUAAUGCAACAAUGCUUAUGAUGGAUGCUUAUUAAUUCAAGAUAAUUGCAUUUUUUUUUUCUCCUUUGCAUUGCAACUUUGAAAUGAUGUUGGGUGCUACCUCAGACUUCACUGAACAUGGAGUAAAAGUAGUGUUUUCAGGUAAAAAAAAGUACAACUUAUUUUGAAAAGGUGUGUGUAUGUAUACAUAAGAAAGAUGCUAUGUAGAAAUCGUUUUCAUCAGUAUAAUAAAUUUAAGUUAAUUCAUUAAUAUUGAACACAUACUAUGUUCUAGACACUACCACGUAAGACUCAGUCAAAAUUUUCUUUAAGAUACAGACAGGUCAUUUAAUUAAGUUUUUGAUUGGAAGGAACCUUAGAGAUGAUUUAGUCCAAUACCUUCAUUUUAAUGAUUUUAAAAAUAAGAGGAAAUUACCUUGUCCUUGAUUAUAUAUAUAAUAGUAUACGUUGGAAUACAAAUAUCAUCACUUCCAGUGUUUUGAGCAGAAAAAAGAAAACCAUUUGCCUUGGCUGAUGCUUUAUGCUCAAAAAGUGCCAUUAGAGAUGAGGCGAGAACCCAAGCAGUAACGGUCAGCUAUAGACGAAAUUUUGUACAGAAGGCAGGAAUUUGCAGAGAUUCUACUAGCUGUGGAGUGUUAAAGUGGAUGUUGACUGCUUCUCUUCAUUAUGCAAUUCAAAUAAUCUUCCUACUCUAGAUGAUUAUUCUAGAAUAAUUGAAAAAAGAUGGGCCUCCAGAUAGCCUUUGAGCAUACAAACAGAACUGUCCUGAGAAGAUCAUUAGAGGUACCAAUUUUUCCACUGAUGUUAAGUAAAACUGAAUUGUUGAUGGCUCAGUUCUUCUCAGCUUAUAGAAAUAAAGUUCCUUCCACAUAGUUGCAAGAGAAAAGAGAGUUACCUGUUCUGAAAUGAAGACCUGGCAAGAAAUAACCCUACUUCAUGGGGCGCCUGGAUGGCUCAGUUGGAAGAGCGUGCAAUUCUUGAUUUUGAGAUUGUGAGUUCAGGCCCCAUGUUAGGUUUAGAGAUUACUUAUAUAAAUAAACUUUUUUAAAAAGAAAUAACCUUGCUUUGUAAAUUAUUUUAAGCCAUAGGGGAGUAGAUAGCAGCACCAGGAAGAGAAAUCAAAAGUAGCACUGAAAAUGCUUGACUUAGUUGCUGGAGAUUUCCUAAUUACGUAAUCUAUUUCUGCUCUCUGAUGGCACUGGUCCAAAAUAUAGGCAAUGCUUUGAAUGAAAUGCUGUUUUAAUCUAUCAAAAUAAUUUACAGCCAUGUUUUUUUCAUCAAGUAGACAGAAUAACUUUUUGUUCAAAGGAGCCAAUAUGAGUAUUACAGAUUAGUUCCAUAAAUAGGAGUUAAAUACUAUUUGUUUAGUAGUAAUUUUGAACUUCUUGUUGACGUAAGCAAAGUCAUUAAAGAUCAUGAGUACUUGCAGACAUUUUUAAACAAAACUUUUAUGUCUGAAUAUUAUGGCUGCCAAUGUUGUGAUCUUUUUUCUACCUAACACUUCAAAAAUCAUAGUGUCAUCUUACAUUUCUUUCUUAUUCUACUAUUUUUAAAAAGUCUCAGUUAACUUAUUACUUCUGGAUACCUUAUUUGGAACUAAAUAAGUAAGAUCUAGAUGAAUAAGAUUAUGAACAUACUCUGAACAUAAAGCAUACUUUAGGGAAUAACUGGCUUUAUAUCUCUAGUAACCAAUUUUUCUAAGUUACUCUACAACAUAAAUUUAAAUAUUAAAGAUCUCUACUAGACCAAUGAGUUAUGUUAAAUAUAACAUAGGUUUACCAUAUAAACUGAAAUAAGUUUAGUUUUAAAGGAAGUAUGUUAUUAUUGAUUGAGUUAUUAGGAAGAAUGGACCUUCAUCUGUUUACUUGCAUAAAAAAUUCUAUGGAAAAAAAUUGUAUGGAAAGUCUAAUUGACUUCCUAGGCAUCGAGUUAUUCAUCAUCUCUCCUUUCUUUAUGGAACUUUUUUUCUAUUGAGAAAACAUUGUUUGGAGUUCUGUUUAGAUUUACAUUCCCAGGCAAACAUGUAGGUAUUUUCCAUUUCUCUCUGAGAUUUUUACUUCUUCCCAUUGACAACUGUCACCUCAACAGAAGUUUCAUCAGAUGGGUGGUUUUCAAAGAUGAUAAACUAGCCCAAUAAUUUGGUAGGUUUUCCUCCUGAUGCUUCAAAAUUCAGUACUUAAAGUUUCAGACUGCCUAUCUUAUUAAUAUGAUCUGUAUUGUAUGUAGGUCUGAGAACCUCAGUUAGUCAGAAUUUAGCAAAUUCCAUGACUGCUAGGAUUUAACACUUGGUCAGUCCACAUGAAUGAGUAUUAUUGAGAGUAGAAUCUGAUAGUUUUUCUCAAUAAAAUAUUUUAUUUAUUUAAAUGAAAUGGUCAUAGGUAAUUCAGGUAAGAGAAUGAAAUAAUGAAACAAACCAUCCUACUAUCCCAUUAGUGAGUGAACAGAUAAGACGAAUAAAAUAAACCAGCCUACUAUCCAUAAAACCCAGUUAAGUGAACUUUGCUUACAACAAUGCAGGUUUAAGAUGUAAUUUAUUUUUAUUUUUUCAAGAUGUAGCUUAAAUCAUCCAGAAUUGGUGCUAUAAAAAACAUUUACACUCUCAGAUCAUAUCAAACAAAUCUUAAUACUUGUAUGAGAUAAUCUGACUCCCAUGACCAAUACCCAAGAUUCAAGUUGUUUAAAAUUAUUUACUAUUAAAUUCCUAAUGAAACCAUCAAAUAAUUAUAUCACAAAUGUCCAAGAAAAUCAUAUUUGAAAAUGUGUAUGUCUGGAAUCUCUUAGUCGUAUACAUUUGGAAUCUUGAAAUAAAUAAUUCUAAAAUAAUCUCUGAGAUGUAAAUACCACAAUACUGACUUGGGGAAACAUAGAAUACAUUUAGCAUCUAAUUUAAAGGCAUCAACUCAACAUUAUAUUAAAAUUUUUUUUACGUUUAUUUAUUUUUGAGAAACAGAGAGAGACAGAGCACAAGUGGGGGAGGGGCAGAGAUAGAAGGAGACACAGAAUCCGAAGCAGGCUCCAGGCUCCGAGCUGUCAGCACAGAGCCCAAUGCAAUUCAGGGCUUGAACUCACAAACUGCGAGAUCAUGACCUGAGCCGAAGCCAGAUGCUGAACCGACUGAGCCACGCAGGUGCCCCAAUAUUAUCUUAGAGAUGAUUGGGGCACCUGGGUGUUUCAUUCGGUUAAGCAUCCAACUUCAGCUUAGGUCAUGAUCUCACAGUUGGUGGGCUUAAGGACCACAUCAGGCUCUGCACUGAUAACUCAGAGCCUGGAGCCUGGUUCAGAUUCUGUGUUUCCCUUGCUCUCUCCCCCUCACCCCCUUGUGCACACACACUCUCUCUCUCUGAAAAAGAAAUAAAUAAACAUUAAAAAAAAAGACUGACAAUUUCCGGUUACAAAGGAAGGUUCUCAUUUAUUUUCAAGAUAUCUUUUCAAUUAUUUAUGUUAAAUGUGAAUACCCAAUUUAGAAGCAUAAGUGGCCAAUCUAUUGCAUUAUCAGAUCAUAGAAUCCUCCAGCUCAGGAUUGGAAAAUACCUUGACUAUUAUGUAUGUCAACAACUCAUCCAAUUAUAUUAUCCCCUGUAUUCUAUUAAUUCCAGGGCCAACAGCUUACUUUUGAAAGGAGCUAAUAAUAGAACCUCUUACCUCCUAGGCAAUCCAUUUUCCAUUAGAACAACUUCAACAACUCAAAACCUUGCUUUUUUCUACUCAUCAAACCACAGUUUCAUUCACACCUUUGGGCCAUGAUGAAUGAGACUAAUUCUUCUAAUGACAGCUCUCCUUUCCUUAAAUAUUUGGAUAGAGUUUCUAUAUGACAGAAACCUUAUUUUAUGUGGGUUAAAUGUGCUAAAUUAUUUAAAUUCUUAUUUGAACACUAUCAAUCCUUCACUCUCCCAUUCAAUAUUCAGUUCUCUAAUUUUUAGAGAUACAUCCUUGUAAGUGGACACUAAUAAGCAUAGUUAGAAAUUCAUUUCGGGAGUGCAUGGGUGGCUCAUUUGAUUAAGCAUCUGGCUUCAUCUGGGAUCAUGAUCUCCUGUUUCGUGAGUUCCAGCCCUGCAUCAGGCUCUCUGCUGUCAGCACAGAGCCUGCUUCGGAUCUUCUGUCUCCCUCUCACUCUGCCCCUCCACUGCUUGUGCACAAUAGUGCACUCUCUCUCCCUCAAAAAUAAACAUAAAAAAUUAUUUUAAAAAUUCAUUUGCACUCUUAAGUACUAUCAACCACACAGAUUGCAGAAUACAUUAUAGUAGGCAUACAGCAUCAGAUGCUUACAUUUGUUAACAUGUUAACAAUCACAAUUAUAAUACUGGUGAUGUCAACAAAUACUUGUUCACUAUACUACUUUAUAGUUAAAAAAAACUUUAAUUAUUUUGUUAUAUUUUCUCAGAAUUUGUGUGAAGUACAGAAGACAAGUCUUUUUAAUUUAAAUUUUACUUUAAAAACUAUAGAUAUUGUGACUGGCCCGAGAUGAAUAACAAAUAGUUCCAGGAAUGUUAUUCAGGCUAACACCAAAGAUCGGGUCUUCUCUGCUACAGAGAUCAAUUACUUUUAUCUUUCAUAAAAAUAAUUUUUGAUUCCUAAGUAGUAAAGGGGGAAAAUAUCUCUCACAAAUCUCCAUUAUUUUAGAAAGCACGUGCUAUUAAUUAAAAUCGGGGGAAACUGAGACCUUGAUCUUAACAGAGGCUGCAAUUCAGUUUUUUUUUACAUUAGAAAAAGAAUCUCAUGGGGCACCUGACUGGCUCAAUUGAUUGAGGGUCUCUGGAUUUCACUCUGGAUUUCAGCUCAGGUCAUGAUCCCAGGGUGGUGGAUGGAUCCCCACUUCAGGCUCUGCCAACAUGGGAUAUACUCUCUCUCUCUUACUCUCUCUCUCUCUCUCAAUCUCUCUCUCUGCCCCUCCCCUGCUCAAACACUUUCUCUCUCAAAAUAAAUUAAAAACAUUUUGAAAAGAAAAAGAAUCUCACAAAUGUCACAAGGCAGGAACACACACACACACACACACACACACACACACACACACACACACACACUCUAACAAAAGAAAUGAACGAAACCCAAGGCAGAAAGAGCUUGCCAGCAGAAAGGUAAAGAAAAUCUGCAUCAUACAUUAAGAUUUUUUUCAUGAAAUUAGACGAAACUAAGAUUUAAUAGAGUUCAACUGAUAUUUUAAAAAUUCUCAAAAUUGACGCACUGCAAAGACUAAGAAAACUAAGCACUGAUCAAAGAAAAUUUUAAACGUUCCUGUUCAAAUAAAACCAAUAAAAGGAAUAACCUCACCUGAACAAGGGAGUCUUCCUCUUUACAAAAACCUGAAUCUUCCUGAAUCAAAAGAGGCUCGCUUUUCCCACAGCUUUCUCCGCUGAUAAGCGUGUCGGCAUAGUUGGGCUGGGGGAAGAUCACGUGACUCUCCCUGGAGUCCGCCCUGACCGAGACCUCCUGGGAGUAGGUCUGCAGAAAAGCGCGCACUCCGUCCACGCCCACAAAGCUCGAGGCGGGCACGCCAGCCAAUCCAACCCCCGCAGCCUGGAGUAGACGGGACGAAUGCCAGCGCCUCAGCCUGAGUCCCAGCAGCACGAUCACAAAGGCAAGGAAGACGCAGGAGAUUGCGGCCACCGCCACCACCAGGUACAGCGUGAGACCUGAGGCAUCAGGGUCGGCCGAGGGCCUGAUGCUGCCCAGGUCAGUCAGGACGUCUGGAAUGCUGUCGGCCACCGCCACCGUGAGCGUGACGGUGGCCGAGAGAGGGGGUUGGCCGUGGUCUUGCACUGCCACCACCAGGCUCUGCUUGAGCGCAUCUCUGUCCUGCAGGGGCCGCGCUGUGCGCACCUCGCCCGUGUGCAGCCCCACCGCGAAAAGCCCUGGCUCGCUGGCCUUGAGCAGGCGGUAGGACAACCAGGCGUUCUGGCCAGAGUCUCUAUCCACCGCCACCACCUUGGUUACCAGGUAGCCGGGCUCUGCCGAUCGGGGUGCCAGCUCCACGCCUGUGGAACCGUCGGUGGGGAGGGCGGGGUACAGGAUCUCCGGUGUGUUGUCAUUCUGGUCAAGAAUGAAUAUACUCAAGGACACAUUGCUGCUAAGCGGUGGGUCUCCGCUGUCCUGCGCAGUCACUCUCAGUUGCAGGUCACGGAAUUGCUCAUAGUCGAAGGAAUGCAAGGCAUACAGGACACCAGUGUCAGAGUUGAUGGACACAUAGGAGGAUAGGGGUGCCCCCCGGAGCGUGUCUUCAGACAGGGAGUAAGUGACUUGGGCAUUCUCAUGGCUGUCCGGGUCAUGUGCAGUCACAGAGAAGAUGGAGGCACCUCUGGGGUUGUUUUCAGGGAUGUAGACAGAAUAGGAGGAGUGGGGGAAGGCAGGUGGGUUGUCGUUGAUAUCUGCCACAUUUAGGUAAAUAAGUGUUUCUGUAGACAGAGGUGGAAUUCCUUUGUCUGUGACUGUUACAGUGAUGUUGUACAAGGAUACCUGUUCUCGAUCUAGUACUGUAUUGGUCACUAAUCGAUAAUAAUUGUCUACUGAUUUUUCCAGUUCAAAUGGCAUACUUCUUGAGAUGGAGCAUGUUACCAGGCCAUUCAGUCCAGAGUCUCUAUCAUAUACUUGAAAAAGAGCGAUUACUGUUCCUGGAGGCAUACUUUCAGCAACUGAUCUGCUUCCAGAUGUAACUACCACUUCUGGUACAUUAUCAUUUACAUCUAAGAUAGUUAUUAAGACUUUUGCUCUGUCAAGUAGACCUGGCCUAUCUCUGGCUUCAACAUCCAGUUCAUAAAAGCUUGAAUCCUCAUAGUCUAAAUUUGCAGAGAUCGAGAUUUCUCCAGUGAAAACAUUCAAGCAGAAAAUCUUGGAGAUCUUUUCUGUUACCCUCAGGAAGGAAUACAUUACUUCCGCAUGGACUCCUUCAUCCUGGUCAGUAGCAUUUACCGACAAGACUGGUGUGCCUACUGGCAGGUUUUCAGGAACACUUACACGAUAGAUAGGCUGAGUAAAUACUGGAGCGUUGUCAUUCACGUCUAGGACAGUUACCACAAUUCGAGCAGUGCCUGAGCGGACAGGUUCACCGCCAUCCACAGCAGUAAGGAUGAGGUGGUGAACGGCAUCUCCCUCCCGAUCCAGGGCACGCUCAAGCACCAGCUCCGGGUAUUUGGGCCUAUCAGCUUCACUCUGCACGUCCACUGAGAAGUGACUAUUCUUGCUGAGUUUGAAGCCUUGAAGAGAGUUCAUUCCCACAUCCAGGUCAUAGACCUCCAUUAGUGGAAAACGAGAGGAUGGGGGUGCGUUUUCCGGAAUUUUCACUUCUAAUUCUUCCCUAAAGAAUCGGGGUGUGUUGUCAUUAAUGUCCAGUAUUUCCACUUCAAUGGGAUAAAGAUUCAGUUUAUCCUCAAUGAGGAUGUUAAAACUCACCAGACACCGCGCGGUCUGGGCACAGAGCUCCUCCCGGUCUAUUCUGUCUGCGGUGACCAAGUUGCCGCUUCGCGGGUUCAGAGAAAAGAGCUGCAUCCUACCUCUGGAGACGAUGCGGACUCCAUGCUCCCCCAGCUCCUGGAGCUCUAGCCCCAGAUCGUCAGCGAUGUUUCCUACGAAGGAACCUUUGUCCAGCUCUUCAGGAAUGGAAUAACGGAUCUGCCUGGCCCCGAGCUCCCCCAGAAUCCCCAGCAGAAUAACGAGUACCACUAAUCCGCUCCGGUGCCGGCGCUUUUGCAGAGCUGCCAUGACAGGCUCCUUAUGGACUUCCUGGGGAUUGUGAGUAGAGGGAGCAGGUUCACAAUCACUUUUUUGUGCCCCUCUGAAUUAGAAGCCAAGGUCCAUAAACAAGUAGAGGUCAGAUGCGAAGCGUUUUAGAUUAGAAUUUCUGCGCAGCUGGAGAGCUAUGGUGUCUGAUCUGCUUUGUGCUGGAGGAUAUUACUUGAGUUGUCAUUACUUUCCUUGCCGGGAUUAGUGAACAGCGACGCUUAGAGUCCUAACUUAAUACUGCACCGUUUUUGUGAAACCAUCAUGCAAAGAAUCUUAUUUCUGCUAAAUCUGCUUAGAUGUCACUCAUAUUUCCCUCCCCAAGAAGAAUAAAAGCGCAUAUUUUGAAUAGUUUUAUAUAUUCCCAGGAAUUUAUUACUCAUUUUUUGGGGGGUCAUGAGCUCUUAGGGCCUUGGAGGAAAGAAAUAAGAUUAUGCUUUUCUGUAAAUUUGAAUUCUAUUCCACCAUCAUUUAUAUUUGUCCCAUUUUCAUUUUUUUAAUGUUUCACAUUUUUACUUAAAUUCUAGUUAGUUAAGAUAUAGUGUAAUACUAGUUUCAGGAUAGAUUUUAGUGAUUCAUCACUUAUAUGUAACACCCAGGGCUCAUCACAAGUGCCGUCCUUAAUAUCUAGCACCCAUUUAGCCCAUCCCCCCCCACUUCCCCUCCAGCAACCCUCAGUUUCUUCUCUAUAGUUAAGAAUCUCUUUUAUUUGUCCCAUUGUCAAUAAGGGCACCAACAACUACACAUUUGGAACCAAUUCACCUACUGCCAGUUACAAGUAUUGCCACGUUUAGAUGUCAUCUAAUUUAUUAACACAUAGAUUAAUAAACGCUCUAGCAUAAGCAAUAUUUCUGUAUACUUUUAAAAUCAUGAAAAGGGGGGCAGUUGGCUGGCUCAAUCAGAGUAGCCUGUGACUCUUGAUAUCCAUGUCAUGAAUUUGAGCCCCAUGUUGGGUGUAGGGAUUACUUAAAUGAAUUAAAAAAAACUGUAAAAAUAAAAUAAAAACAUAAAAAGGAAGUGAAAAUAUAUUGUCUACAAUGAGAAAACUUGUAUUAAUAUAUACAAAACAUAAUUUAGGACUGACUGCAUUGAAACUAAGUAAACCACUUAAGUGCCUACAUUUGUGUUUAAUUAUAUAAGGUUUCCCAAUGACAGGGUGAUGCUAAUAUAUCAAAAAUGUUUCAUGAUAUGUGGUUUUAGAUUUAACAAAAAUUUCAAGACAUCACAAGGCCCCUUUAUAUGAAAGACUGCAACACAGAUAAAUGAACAAAAAAAUUCUAACACCCCUCACACACAAACGAUGCCCAGAAAAAUCAAUAAAACACAAUAAAAUCAGGGUAUAGUUAGCCUGUAUACUUUUUAUCUAUAACCUAAUUAUACUUAUAGAAAUAAAAGGUUUUGACGUAACUCACCUGUUGCAAAUUGACUGAAUUAGAAGUCAUUUUGCGAUUAUCAUUAUUGGCACUUUCAAACCAAGAGGCUUCAUUACAUAGAAGAUCUUGUGAUGGACCAUUUUCAGGCUUUAUACUGAGAAAUUUAAACUCAGUCUCUGAGGAAUGUGAGGCAGCACAUAGAUUGUAAGAAUAAGGCAAAGUCCCUUCGCUAAAGUUGGGAAUAACCCCAGAUCCAGUCUUGGAGCAGACAUCAGUCUUAAAGCAGCUCCAGGAGGAAGGGCGGGAGGAGCGUCGCAGGCUCAGCGCAACCGCUAGAAUCACUGCUAGGAGAAACAGCACUGAGAUCAAGGCCAAGGCCACCACCAGGUAAAACUGCAGCUCAGCCUGGGGGUCAGAGGGCUCCGGACGGUCGCUGACAUCCGGCAGCGCCUCUUGUAGGCUGUCUGCGAAAACCAGGAGCAACGUGACAGUUGCGGAAAGGGGCGGCUGUCCUCCAUCCCGCACGGCGACCAGCAGGCGCUGGCGGGCCGCGUCCCUGUCGCCCAAAGCACGCGCAGUGCGCACCUCGCCCGUGCGCAGCCCCAGGCUGAAGAGUCCGGGCUCGCUGGCCUGCAGCACGUGGUACGACAGCCACGCAUUGUGUCCCGAGUCGGCGUCCACCGCCACCACCUUGGUGACCAGGUAGCCGGGCUGCGCGGCGCGCGGCACCGUGUCGAAGAGCGCCGAGCCGUCGGGCCCCAGCGCCGGGUACAGCACCCUAGGCGCGUUGUCGUUGCGGUCGCCCACCAACACGCGCAAGCUCACGUUGGCGCUGAGCGCGGGCGAGCCCUGGUCGCGGGCCUGCACCGUCAGCUCGAAGGCGCGCAGCUGCUCGUGGUCGAAGGCGCGCUGCGCGAACACCACGCCGCUCUGCGCGCUCACGGACACGUAGGACGCCAGCGCCCGCGGCUCCAGGUCGCUGGCCACGAUGGAGUAGGAGACGUGGCCGUUGGGUCCCAGGUCGGGGUCGGAGGCGCUGACUUGGGCGAUAGAGGCUCCAGGAGGAUUGUUCUCAACCACGUGGACCACGUAAGAAGGCUGUGGGAAAACCGGCGCGUUGUCAUUGACAUCAGCAAUGUUCAAGAUGACACUUCUGUUGGAGGAGAGGGCUGGCCUUCCCCUGUCGGUGACUGUGAUGGUAAUGUUGUAUUCCGGAGUCUGCUCUCGAUCUAGGGCUCCAUCUGUGACCAACUUGUAUGUGUUUUUUGUAUCUUGAACUAUUUUAAAUGGGAACUUUCCUUUUAGUUGGCAGAAAACUUCCCCAUUAAAUCCAGAAUCGAGGUCAUAGGUUUUGAUCAGGACAACAACAGUCCCCAACUCAGCAUCUUCUAGAAUAUGUUUAGAUUCAGAAUCCAGGGUUAUCUCUGGUGUAUUGUCGUUUUCAUCCAAAAUAUCUAUUUGUACUUUACAGUGUGCUGUGUGAUGUCCACCAUCCUUUGCUUCCACCCCAAUUGUGUAGCUCGCUCUCUCUUCAAAGUCCAGUCCUCCGCCAGUGGUGAGUUCCCCUGUUGUACUGUCCAGUUUGAACAGCUGUCUCACUGCCCUACCAAUGUUGAUGAAAGUGUAGGUGAUCACAGCAUUGACCCCUUCAUCCAAGUCAGUGGCCAUCACUCUUAGUACAGAGGAGCCCACAGGCAGGUUCUCUGGAACACUGACCCUGUAAAUGUCCUGGGUGAACACUGGUGCAUUAUCAUUUGCAUCUGCCACAACCACCAUGAUCUGGGUAGUGCAGCUUCUGGCUGGGUCACCCCCAUCCACAGCCGUGAGGACCAGGUGGUGGUGUGACUGCUCUUCCCUGUCCAGGGGAGUCUUCACUACCAGUUCUGGGUACCUACUGCCAUCUGGGUUCUCCUUCUGGAUCAAAGAGAAGUGUGGGUUGGGACUGAGGUAGUACUGCUGCAGGGAAUUGACACCUACAUCUGAAUCUUGCGCGGGUUCCAGGGCAAAGGAGGCUCCGGUUAUGGCCAGUUCACUGAUUUCCAAUUCAGUGAUAUUUUGGCUAAAGGUUGGUGGAUUGUCAUUGACAUCCUGAAUUACCACACUUACAUGAAAGAAGUUCAAAGGCUUUUCGGCCACCAAUUCGAAUUCUAGAACACAUGUCGACUUCUCGCCACAAAUCUGCUCUCGGUCUAUACGGUCACUAACAAGUAAGUCCCCAUUCUCAGUACUCACUGUAAACAGUUUCUUCUGUGCACUAACACGCAGGUUUCGAGCAGGCAAAUCUCCAACGCCAAUCCCCAGAUCCUUGGCGAGGUUUCCCACAAGCGAGCCCCUGGCCAGCUCCUCCGGAAUAGUAUAGAGGAUCUGCUCCGAGAUCACCGGGCAGAACAAAGACAGCAAAGAGAGAAACAGCAUUUGUCUCCGCCCAGCCGGGCCCUUCAAUCCCAAGUGAUCGCUCAUCCCGCUUUCAGCGCCUUUGCCUUUCUAACUCUGAAGAGCUAUGGUCGCUAAAUUAUCCCAAGAAUUCUCCGAGCAGGAGCAACUCCUUGAUUUGUCUUGGCAGGCGGGUUCUAACAAAUAUCUUAGCGUCACAGAGCCAGAGGCAGAGUGUCCAAUUCUCGCGGUUCCGCGGUGGGCUGGCGAUUCCUUUGCGCCAGGAGAAGCUGAUACUUCGCUCAGUACUAGCCAACAGCGGCACCCCGCGUCUGGGCUGCAGAACUGCAGUAGUGGUUACUACAUCAGCUCCAAGUAAGGAGUGGGUUAGAAGAAAAUUCUACUGUGUCCUGAUAUAGAUACUCAUUUUUCUCAUUUUACAAGGAUUUUAACAUUUUAAAUAUUCACUCUAUCUUUGGUCUGGCUGUGAUUUUAUUUGAACCUGAGCUUUAUCCAUCUAAAUCAAGUCAUUUUUACUCCUCAAAGAGCAGAGGUAACUUGCUGAAGACAUUGGCAUCGUAGUGCUUUUCAUUUCCAUUUUCAUAAAAUGGCUAUAAUAACAUCUUCCCUGUGUUACUUAGCAAAAUUGAAGACCAAAUAAAAUAAUAUGUAGAAAAUGACACAAAUGAAAGUAGUGGUGGUGCAGCAGAAAGUAUAAUAGGAAAAUUCUUGAAAUAUCAGCUUGAUAUGUAUUGUUACUACUCCACUCUAUUUUCUUUUUUUCUAACUUAAAAAUGUUACAAAUAUCAUAGCUUUUAGUUGUAUACUGUGUUUCACUUCCUUCUAUAUUAUCAUUGUCACCUUACCCCCCAAAUAAUUGAUAUGUAAGCAAAGAGACUGAUUAUUCUUAUAAAACAGGAGUAUGGUAAGAAGCAAGAAGAAACUCCUUGUUAGUUUCCAAGUGUCUACUUUCAAAUGACUAGGAUUCAAAAACUAUUCCUCUGAUUUUACUUUUUCCACACUACUUUACCAUUGUCUCUAAUGGUACUGUUUCUUCUCAAGUAGCUUAGCAAUGGUGAGUUAUUCGAAUUUGGGGAGUGAAGUAUGAGUCCUUAUAAUCACAUAUUCUAAAGAAAGUAAUCUAUGUAGUCCACUUUUUUUGGUCCCAAGGUUACUAUCAGAUCAUCCCAACCCUUUGUUACUGACAUUCUUGCCUUGUAAAUAAGCAUGUCAAUUUUAUGUUUCUGAUAGGUCUUACAGGUUUAAUUCCAUUUCCAAACUAGAAAUCUUCAUAAAGAAACUUUUUUAACCUACACAAUACAUUGUCAUUCUAAAACUUAGCGGAUGUGUAGCAAUGCUGAACUCAUAGUGGAAUAGCAUUAGACAUCUUAAACUGUUCAUUGUAUUCAGGAUUCUAGGCAGAAACUCAUGGACAUCUCUACUUCAUACAAACAUAAAAAACAGAUUCGAGACUUUGCUCCAAAACAUGACUGAACAAUAUGGUGUGAACACUUAAAUUAGUAUAGGACAGUUAUCUUUUCAGAGCACAUGUGAAACUAAAGAUUCAAAUAUUUCAAAGAAUAUGGAGUAUACACAGUAUAUACACUCAGAGUGUUGGAUCAAGCAUUUCAUUAUAUAAAGUCUAUUGAAGUUUAUAGAGAUUUACUCAGGACACAUAUCCAAAGUCUAUAACAUCUUCAUUAAAAUAUAAUGAAAAGAAAAAAAUAAUAUUUAUUAUAAAAUAUAAUGAAAAAAUGAGUUUUCUUGUAAGAGUGAAUGGUAUCAGUCUCCAUCCUCCAUCAUACAGAUUCUUGUUACUCUUUUGAUGUAUUUGCUGUUCAGUGAAUCUGCACAUUUUACACUGUGAUCAGAAUUGUCCAGAUAAAAAUUAAUUGGAUGCCCUUCAAAUAAAUAUUUAAAAAAUAAAAAUUAAGUCAUAGGUUCCCACAUGUAACAAUAAACCAUUUGUUUGGUCAGGUAAUGUAGCCUAUUAUCCCAUUCGUAAUAUUUUAUUGCAAUUUCCCCUAUUUAUUCAUACUUUGCAGCUGAUAAAGUACAGUAUUUGAAAACUUUAAAGAGAAGCAUCUGAAAAUCAUCUUCAGUAAAUCAGAUAUCAAAAAUGAAAAGGGUAGUUCUUCUUUUUAAAAAAAAAUUUUGUUUAAUGUUUAUUCGUUUUUGAGAGAGACCGAGAUAGAGUGGAUGGGAGAGAGGCAGAGAGAGGGAGACACAGAAUCUGAAGCAGGUUUCAGGCUCUGAGCUGUCAGCACAGAGCCAGAUGUGCGGCUUGAACCCAUGAACUGGGAGAUCAUGACCUGAGCUGAAGUUGGAAGCUUAACCAACUGAGCCACCCAGGUGCCCCAAAAGGGUAGUUCUUCUUAAGCAACACACACUCAUGAAUUUUAAUACCCAAUGAAAUACCCACAUUUCAUUAAGAAGGAUUAUUAAUUUAAGAUGAGCAUGUGAAUUUCAAAAUUUUAAACAAUUUUUAUGUUGAAUUGAUUUUCCAAGUACAAAUCUUAGAGUCCGGGGUGCCUGGGUGGCUCAGUCGGUUAAGUGUCUGACUCUUGAUUUUGGCUCAGGUCAUGAUCUCACAGUCAUAAGAUCAAGCCCAGCAUGUCUGGCUCCAUGCUGGGCAUGAAGCCUGCUUAAUAUUCUCUCCUCCUCUCCCUCUACCCUUCCCCUCCCUGCUCAUGCUCUCUCUCUCUCGCUCAAAAAAAUAAUAAAUAAUUUUAAAAACCACAAAUCUUAGAGUCUAGUAAUAAAGCAGAAUUGUACUGACACUUGAAUAAAUGCAAACAUUCAAGUAGAUAUUGAUUCUAAAAAGUGAAGAGGUUAUCUGUAACCAGAUGAUUCCAGGUGUAAUGGCAUAUUAAUGGUGUAUUUAAUGAAUGUAGCAAAAUAUAAUUCUUUGGAGAUUUUAAACUGCAUCAGAAAAUAAAGUUCUAAGGCUCUUUCUCACUGAUUUUUUCUCUCAACAAAUACACAUGUCCAGUAAUUACAUAGAUUAACCCAAAGUUUCCAGACUUGAGAAUGCCACAGACUAUAGAUUUGAUGUUUUUUAUUUUUUUCAUGUAGUUUUCUAUAUUCCUCCACUGAUUCAUGAAAAUACUGUAAAUUAUUUCCUUAUAGAAACGGUAUACUAAAACUUCAAUGCUGUACACUAUUCUUCCAAAACAUAUUCACCAUUGGUGUUUACACAAAUAUUCAAAAGAGAACAUUACAUGUAACAAUUUGGACUAAUCAAACAACUCUUCUAUUAACAUAAUAACAAUUCUGGGGCAGCUGGGUGGCUUAGUUGGUUCAGUAUUUGACUCUUGACUUUGUCUCUGGUCAUGGUCUCACAGUUUGUGAGUUAGAGCCCUCCAUCGGGCUCUGCACUGAAAGCACGGAGCCUGGUUGGGAUUCUCUCUAACCCUCUCCUCUGCACCUCCCCGCCUUUCAAAAUAAAUAAACAUUAAAAAAACAUAACAGUUGUAUAAGAAAGUCUUUGGGUAAAGCGAUCAUGUUUCAUUUAUUUUUAAGACUAAGGAUAUCAGCUAGAUUGUCUAGAAAUUUCAUGUAUUGAAAAAAAAGACAUUAAACCCAAAAUAUAAUUUGAAAACAAAUGAAGAGAGCAUCAUCAAAUUAAAUCAAGUCAAUCUCUAAAUAAAACAUACAACGAUUGAUUAUUUAUAUAAUUAACCAACUUUGAAUAUGGCAGACAAAUGAUUGAGGAAACAAAUGAAAAAAAUGCUACAAGCAAUGAUACUGGAAAAAAAAAAAACCUCACCUGUACAACUCCUAGCUCUUCGUUUACAUUUAUCUUCUCAGAUAUCAGAGGAGGCUCGCUUUUCCCACAGCUCUCCUGACUGAUGAGUGUGUCUGCAUAGUUGGGCUGGGGGAAGAUCAUGUGACUGUUCCGGGAGUCUGCUGUGAGGGAGACCUCGUGGGAAUAAGUCUGCAGGAAAGCUCGCACCCCGUCCACACCCACAAAGUGCGAGGUGGGCAUGCCAGCCAACCUGCUUCCUGAUGCCUGGAGCUGACUUGAAGAGUGCCAGCGUCUCAGCCUGAGUGCCAGUAGCACGAUGACAAAGGUGAGGAAGACACAGGAGACUAUAGCCACUGCCACCACAAGGUACAGCGUGAGACUGGAGUCGUCAGCAUAGGAUGAGGGCUUGAGGCUGUCCAGGUCAGCCAGGACAUCUGGGAUACUGUCAGCUACAGCCACAGUGAGUGUGACAGUAGCUGAAAGAGGGGGCUGGCCAUGAUCCUGGACCACCACCACUAAGCUCUGCUUGAGCGCGUCUCUGUCCAGCAGGGCCCGUGCAGUGCGCACCUCACCCGUGUGUAGCCCCACCGUGAAAAGUCCUGGCUCGCUGACCUUGAGCAGGUGGUAGGACAGCCAGGCAUUCUGGCCAGAGUCUCUGUCCACCGCCACCACCUUGGUCACUAGGUAUCCGGGCUCUGCGGAUCGGGGAGCCAGCUCCACACCAGUGGAGCCAUCGGUGGGAAUGCUGGGGUACAGGAUUUCAGGGGCAUUGUCAUUCUGAUCCAGCACAAACAGGCUCAGUGACAUGUUGCUACUAAGUGGAGGGUCUCCACUGUCACUGGCCAUUACCCACAGCUGCAGAUCUUUAACUUGCUCAUAGUCAAAAGAGCCCAGAGCAUACAGGAUGCCUGUAUUGGAGUUGAUGAAGACAUAGGUAGACAGAGACAUUCCUUGAAACAUAUCCUCAGCCAGAGAGUAAGUGAUCUUGGCAUUGUUGCCGCUGUCAGGGUCGUGUGCAGUCACAGAUAAAAUUGAGAUGCCUCUGGGAUUGUUUUCCAGGAUGUAGGUGGAGUAUGAGGUGUGAGGGAAGACGGGAGGGUUGUCAUUGAUGUCUGCCACAUUCAGGGAGAUGUGGCUUUCUGUAGACAGGGGUGGGUUUCCACUGUCAAUGACAGUUAUUGUGAUGUUAUAAUCUGAGAUCUCUUCUCUGUCCAGGGCUUUCGUUGUCAAUAAGUGAUAAUAAUUAUCAACUGACUUUUCCAAUUUAAAGGGCAAGUUCCUGGGGAUAGAACACACAAUCUCACCAUUCUCUCCAGAAUCACCAUCAUGUACACUAAACAGUGCAAUUACAGUUCCAGGAGGACAGUCUUCAGAGACGGAACUAGCAAGGGAUGUGAGGAUCACUUCUGGGACAUUGUCAUUCACAUCCUGUACUGUCACCAAUACCUUAGCACUGGCAAGAAGAGCACCUCCAUCCUGAGCUACCACUUCCAUGAGGUAGAAUCUGGAUUCCUCAUAAUCCAGUGAUUGCAGAGUUGAGAUUUCACCCAGGCUGGAAUCAAGUUGGAAAGUCUCUGAAAUCUUAUCUUCUUCAUUGCGAAAAGAGUAUGUUAAUUCCCCGUUUACUCCCUCAUCUGGAUCCGUGGCGGUUAGUGUAAGCAGCCGAGAGCCUACAGGUAUGUUCUCUGGAACAGUCACUCUGUACUCAGAUUGAGUGAAGAGAGGCGCAUUAUCAUUUGCGUCGAGGACCACCACGUGUAUGUGCAUACUGCUAGAGAGUAUGGGGUCCCCACCAUCUAAAGCUGUGAGAAGAAGGUCGUGGACAGCUACUUUCUCGCGGUCCAAGGGCCGUUCCAGUACCAGCUCCGGAUAUUUUUGUCCAUCAGUUCCGCUUUUCUGCUCCAGAGAGAAGUGCAUAUUGGGGCUGAGCUUAUAACUCUGGAGAGAGUUCAUACUCACAUCCGCGUCUCGAGCGAAAGGAAGGGCUAACCGAGUUCCCGUAGCCGCAUUUUCAUUAACUUUUACUUUUACUUCCUCAUCCCGGAAACGUGGAAAGUUAUCAUUAAUAUCUAUUAUUUCUAUUUCUACUCCAUAAAUUUUCAUGUUAUUCUCAAGCAAGAUGUUAAAACUCACCACACACCGUGCGCUCUGAGCACAGAGCUCCUCCCGGUCUAUCCUGCCUGCGGUGACCAAACUGCCGCUUCGCGGGUUCAGAGAAAAGAGCCGCGUCCUACCUCUGGAGACGAUGCGGACGCCACGCUCCGCCAGCUCCCGGGGCUCCAGACCCAGGUCCUUGGCGAUGCUGCCCACGAAGGAGCCUUUGUCCAGCUCCUCCAGCACCGAGUAGCGGAUCGUCCCGGCUCCAGCUCUCCAUAACGUCUCCAGGAGCAGGAGGAGCAGAAGCGGCUCUAUGCAGCCCCAACCCCUCAGUGUAUCCGCCAUUUCCUUCUCUCCGACCAGUUUCCUUAGUCCUAAUUCCAGCCUGCUGUACCCUUAUUUCUUUCAAGUCAAAGGAAACACAUUACUUGACAGAAACGCGAGGCUUUUCCCCAAAUUUCUCUGGUCUGUGUUUGUUUAGGGCGGAAGGAGCAGAGUCAGGUCGCCGUCAGCGGACAGCUUUUCCACUUUGGUGAACAGCGACGCUCAGAGUCCUAACCAGUUACUACACCAAUUCUGUUUUUAUUUCAUAAAUGUUUAAUUAUAUUUUAUUUCUAAUAAUUUUGCUGUAUUCUUAACCUAUUGACAAGUGACAUUACUCAUAUCUAAGAUUUAAUUCUGAAAUAUCAAAGGACUUCCACAAACCUUGAGAUCAAUAUAAUUAUUACAUUUUUAUUUCUUUAGAAAAGUUUUAUUUAAUGUGCCAUUGAGUCUAUGUCCUUUAUUUACCUCUUACCUAUACUGAGUCCAUUAAAUUAGGACAUUAGAAUUCUUAAUUUUGUAGGCUUUAAAAUUUCAUCUUUUUAUUAGGAUAUAUUUAUGAAAACGUACCUACUAUGGAUAAGAAUGUCCAGGAAACAAACCUAGCUCUCAUCGCACCAUUGCACAAAGGCCUACUGAUUCAAGCAAAUUGUAUUAGAUGUUGUAAACAGAGAAAAUAAAGGGUCCAUUUUGCUACUUGAGGUCUUUAAGAAAGUUCCCAGACUUUAACACUAAGAGUUUGGCAGCUCCACUAUAUCAGACUAAGAGUCUGAAUUGGGUUAACUACACAUUAUUUUUAUUUCCCUAUUAUCAUGUCUAAAUUGGAGUUAAGGCAUUUUACAGUGACAGACUCUUGGGGAAGUCAGUGUAGUGACUGAAGAAAAGGGCUUUCGUUCGUCACCUAGGCAGAAAAACAUGUCCAGAUCCUUAGUGAGCAGGCAAGUGCCCUUUCUAUGUUGAGACGGAUAUUAAACGCUAUCACCUUUACAUGGUAGCAGGAAAAAAAGCCUCACGAUUGAAAACAAAGGGACAUUUCAGAGAGUCCACUGAGAAAAGCAAUUUUUUUCCUAAUGACACCUCCAUAGGAAAAGAAACAACACGAAGAGAUUUUAUAUCUAUAAUUAGAAAAUUCAAAAAAGAAAGUUUUAGGUAAACAAUGUGAGUAUAAUUUGCAAAAUUUUUCUCAUUGUACAAUUUUUCACAAAAGCAAUUUGUUAUAUGCAUGAGAGAGAACGAUUUCUCCCACUUAUUAAAUACAUUCUUUUUAAAAGUUUAUUUAUUUAUGAGAGAGGUAGAGCAUGAGCAGGGAAAUGCAGAGAAAGACAGAAUCCCAAGAAGGCUCCACACUGACAGGGCUCAAUCUCGUGAAUCAUGAGAUCAUGACCUGAGCCAAAAUCAAGAGUCAGACACUUAACCACUGAGCCACCCAGGCACCCCCAUAAACACACUCUUAAUAACAGAUACUACAGGCCUCAAAUGUUGCUUAUCCUUUAAAAACAGAUCUGAGAUCUCAAGACAUUAAGCUUGAAAAGAUACUUAGAAGGGAGGUCUACAAUUCAGUCCUACCCAUGCCCUGCUGUUGACAAGCCAUGACCCUGGGUAAAAUUUUCUUUUUGGUUCCCAGUUUUCCCAAACGAGGAACAUGGAAAGCUCUCUUUACUCUGAAGUGCUAUAAUUCUAAGAAGAAGUAAAACUAAAAUCUGAGUAAUAAAGAUCUGUAGGGUAAAAGGAAUAGCUUAAGAUCCCAGUAGUAAUGAAAUUUCAGAGGAAAGUAAUAUAAAGAUGAAGCAGAAACUAUUUCGUGUAGUAAAGGCUUGUAAUUAUGGACAAAUAAAUCUCACACAUCAGAAAGAAAACCUAUGUUAAAAUUCUGUUUAGAUAAGAUUAAGAUAACUAAGGCAGAAAACUGCCUAAAUUGAACCCACAAGACAAAAUAUGAAAUAGUGAUUUCUACGCCAAUAAGGUGAUUUGUUAACAAACAUUGAAACUCAAAGUGAAAACUAGCGAAGUAAAUUAAAACUCACCUUUAGAAUAGUAUCUGAUGCAAAUGGGACCCCAGCGCCUUCAUGAUUUGUAUUUGGUAACCAAGCGGCAUCUUCACAGAGGAGAUCCUGAGAGGGAGUCUCUUCCGGGGUGACAUUAAGAAAAUUAAACUCUGUCUUAGCUAACUGUGAAGCAACGCACAGAUUGUAGGAAUAAGGCAAAGUCCCUUCUCUGUAAUCGGGGAGAACCCCAGGUCCAGAUUUGGAACGGAGGCGUGACUGAAAGCAGCCCCAGGCAGCGGGGCUGGGGGAGCGGCGCAGGCGCAGGGCCACCGCCAGAAUCACCUCAAGGAGGAAGAGCACCGAGAUCAAGGCCAAAGCCACCACCAGGUAAAACUGCAGCUCGGCCUGGGGGUCAGAGGGCUCCGGGCGGUCGCUGACAUCCGGCAGUACUUCUUGGAGGCUGUCGGCGAAAACCAGGUGCAGCGUCGCGGUGGCAGAGAGGGGCGGCUGUCCCCCGUCCCGCACGGCGACCAGCAGGCGCUGGCGGGCCGCGUCCCUGUCGCCCAAAGCACGCGCAGUGCGCACCUCGCCCGUGCGCAGCCCCAGGCUGAAGAGUCCGGGCUCGCUGGCCUGCAGCACGUGGUACGACAGCCACGCAUUGUGUCCCGAGUCGGCGUCCACCGCCACCACCUUGGUGACCAGGUAGCCGGGCUGCGCGGCGCGCGGCACCGUGUCGAAGAGCGCCGAGCCGUCGGGCCCCAGCGCCGGGUACAGCACCCUAGGCGCGUUGUCGUUGCGGUCGCCCACCAACACGCGCAGGCUCACGUUGGCGCUGAGCGCGGGCGAGCCCUGGUCGCGGGCCUGCACCGUCAGCUCGAAGGCGCGCAGCUGCUCGUGGUCGAAGGCGCGCUGCGCGAACACCACGCCGCUCUGCGCGCUCACGGACACGUAGGACGCCAGCGCCCGCGGCUCCAGGUCGCUGGCCACGAUGGAGUAGGACACGCGGCCGUUGGGUCCCAGGUCGGGGUCGGAGGCGCUGACUUGGGCGAUGGAGGCUCCUGGAGGGUUGUUCUCGGCAAUAUGAACCAAAUAGAAAACCUGUUCGAAAACUGGCGCGUUGUCGUUGACAUCUGCGAUGUGCAGAGUGAUGUUUAUACUAGAGGAGAGGGGCGGCUUACCUCUGUCGGUGGCCAUUAUAGUGAUGUUAUAUUCUGGAUUCUCUUCCCGGUCCAGGGGCCCGUCUGUCACUAGCUUGUAAUAGUUCUUGGAGUAAGAUUUCAAUAUAAACUCGGCCUUUCCCAAGAUGCGGCAGUAAACUUCUCCAUUUUCUCCAGAGUCUCUAUCUCUUGUUUUUAUCAAGGCGAUCACAGUUCCUGGUGGUGAAUCUUCUGGUAGCGGAGUAAAUACCGAAGUAAUAACCAUUUCAGGUGCACAAUCAUUCUCAUCGAGAAUUUCAACUUGGAUACUGCAAUAGGCUGCUAGAUCUCCAUGAUCUUUUGCUUCUACACUGAGAGUGUAACUAUUAGCAAUUUCAAAAUCGAAAUUAUCCUUUGUUGUGAUUUCACCUGUUCUUUUAUCUAAGUUAAAAAACUUUUCCACUAGUUCAUCCACAUGAUGAAAGGAGUAGGUGAUUUCUGCGUUGACGCCCUCAUCCUGAUCAGUGGCUGUUACUUGAAGCACGGAGAAGCCCAGAGGUACACCUUCCUGCAGGCUGACCUUGUACACGUCCUGGAUGAAAACUGGGGCAUUAUCGUUGGCAUCGGUCACUUGGAUUUGGAUCCGAGCGGUGCCGCUUUGGGGUGGGUCGCCACCAUCCACAGCUGUUAGAACCAACUGAUGGAGAUUCUGUUCUUCUCUGUCUAGUGAAUGUUUCAGAACCAACUCAGGAUAUUUACGUCCAUCUGGAGCCUGUUUCUCUAUGAGAUCAAAGUGUUCAUUGUCAUUAAGAUGGUAUCUUUGCAGUGAAUUUGGGCCAGCAUCUGAAUCCAGGGCCGGGUCUAGUGGAAAUGUUUUACCUGGCUUAGUGGAUUCUCCAAUUUUUAAAUCAAUAUUAUUCUGUUUGAAUAGCGGGGUAUUGUCAUUUAUAUCCUGUACUAUUACUGCUACAUGGAAAAUAUUUAGUGGGUUUUCAGCGACAGUAUCGAAAUCCAGAAUACACAGAGGCUUCUUUCCGCAUAUCUGCUCUCGAUCUAUUCUGUCACUCACAAGUAAGUCCCCACUCUCAGGGUUUACAGUGAAAUAUUCUUUCUCCGCACUAACCCGCAGCUUCCGGGCUGGCAAAUCCCGGACACUGAGCCCCAGAUCCUUGGCGAGGUUUCCUACCACCGAGUCUUUGGCCAGCUCUUCGGGAAUUGAAUAGCGGAUUUGAUCUGGAAGAGCCCCGCGGAACAAAGACAGCAGGAAGGGCAACAAUACCUGCCGCCACCGCGCUGGGCUGCUCCUUUCUGCGCUCGGCCUCGGCCUCAUCCUGUCUCCCUUCACGGUGGCUCUGCUUUUUGGAUGGGAGGAGAAUUAAGCCCUCUGUGGAUGGCAAAAUCCCGGGUAGGGUCGCUUUUCCUGCUUUUGUUUUCUGUAUCCGAAUCAGUACUGGUGUCCUCUAUGUGGCUGGUUUGAGCAGGAAGUUACCCUCUAAGAGACUCCCAAAUGCUUUUUCUCUCACUUUUUUGACCUACAGCGACACCCAGAGGUUUUCCCGUGGAAAUGCACCAAAUGCUUAUAAACGUUUUGCGAACCUUUCUUUUUGGAAUCUACAGUUGUUUUUAAAUAGAUAUAUAUUCAUGUAGCUCCAAAAUUGAAGAGGUACAUAACGCAUAUUCUCUCCCUGUCUUGUUUCAAUAACACGUUUAUCCCGAGAGAAAUAAGUAUUACGUUUUGUGUGUAUCAUUCCAGAGAUGUUUUGUGUAGUGCAGCAAAUUUUUAUAAAUGUUCUCCCCCACGUUAAUACAUAAAUGUAGGUAUACAAUAUACCAUGUUCUGCAUCUUGCUUUUUUCAUUCAUUGUAUCUUGAAAUCAUUUCAUAUAAGUACAUAGCUUUCCAAUUUAUUUCUUACAGUUAUGUAGUAAUCCAUCAUAUGGUUGUACAAUAAUUUACUUAAUCAGAAAUAUUUUCUAAAAGAAACCCAGUGCCCAAACAAAAAAAAUUUUUUCUGUGUGAUAUUAGGGUGUUAAUUAUCUACUGCUCUCCUAGGCAUUUAAAAUAUGUAUCACUCUGAUUCUGGAAUGUAUUCCCAAUGCCAACCUCCAAAAAUGCUUGACAGUUUCAGGCCAAUUCGUACUUCCAAAUUUUCUUUUAAAGCUUCAGUAUUUUAAAUAAUCUCAGACAAAUAAUCUCUCCUCAAAUAACCUUCAAUAUUUUACAUAAUGUCCCCUCAGAAUCUUGCUCAAUAUUAUUUCCUCUCUCCUUUCCCCAUGCCAGACAAUUGUAUCAUAUGACAUUCUGUUUAUUCUAUGUAUUGCAACACAGUUUCCCAUGAAGGCAAAAGCAUUUAGAAACUAAAAUGCAGGGUGCUUGUGUGGCUCAGUCCAAAAAGCAUGUGACUCUUGAUCUUGGGGUCAUGAGUUUGAGCCCCAUGUUGGGUGUAGAGAUUACUUAAACUAAAAAGAAAAUUGUUUUAAAUAAGUAAAUUCUUUUUUAAAAACUAAAAUGUUCGAGCCCCGCGUCAGGCUCUGGGCUGAUGGCUCGGAGCCUGGAGCCUGUUUCCGAUUCUGUGUCUCCCUCUCUCUCUCUGCCCCUCCCCCGUUCAUGCUCUGUCUCUCUCUGUCCCAAAAUAAAUAAAAAACGUUGAAAAAAAAUUAAAAAAAAAAAACUAAAAUGCCCUUUCUUAAAUUGAAUUGAGGCAUAGUUCACAGUUUACUGCUACAGUUCCCAGCUAUGAAAGAGCACUAAUUUGUGUUGCCCUACACACUCUUGAAUUCUUAAUUAUCUCAUGGAACUAAAUGAAGGCACAUUUAACAAAAGUGUGGCAUAUCCCUUGAACACAAAAUAUUUCCCCCAUAUCAGAUCAUCCCAGAGCCAUCUCAGAGCUACCUGAGAGCAAUUUUCAGGAACAGGGAUGAGGCCUACUUACUAAGUAGCAUAAAUCAUAUCAGUUCAGAAUCUAAGUUACCCAAUCUCCACAAGUGACUCUCAUGAUGAAAAAGGAGAGAUUUUGAAAGGUAUGUUUUCCUUAGAAAUUGAAAAGGGUCUCAUUGUGAUGUCAUAAUAGGAAAUUUAUAAAUUAUUAAAAUUAUUCCUUCAACCUACUUAAAGAUGAGUGAAAUAAAAUGUGCAAUAUUUUUCGUAAUCCCAGAAGUGAGCCAAAGGAAUCACACAUAGUCACUACUGGUGUAUCUCACAAACUGCAACAACAAAAUAUUUGAAAUAUACCGAUCCUAAUGAGAGCUAUCCUUGUUAAAAUUAGACCUAAAAGCUAAUUUUUUGGGGGGAGGGGAAAAAAUAGUUACAAACAGAGAGGGAAGGAGGCACACCAUAAGAGACUCUUAAAUACAGAGAACAAACUGACUGGUUGAUGGGGGAUGAGGGAGGGGAAAAUGGGUGAUGGGCAUUGAGAAGGGCACUUGUUGGGAUGAGCACUGGGUGUUGUACAUAAGCGGUGAAUCAUGGAAAUCUACCCCCAAAACCAAGAGCACUCUGUACACACUGUAUGUUAGCUAAUUUGAUAAUAAAUUAUACUAAAUAAAUAAAUAAAGGUUAAUAUUUUCUCCAAUAUUUAUAAAUUGCCACUGUUUAAUUAUAAUGGAAAAUACCCUUUCAAGGAAAAACAAACUUCAAGCAAAGUGUAAAAAAGAGGACAGUUAAAAAUACUCAGUCUUCUAUUGAAGAGAGAUGGUUAGAGAUAUAUAGUUAAGAAAUUGUUGUUGAAACUGUAACUACAUGAAGACUAAAAAUGAUAAAUAAUAAACAGCUUUUAGGAAUACUAACUGCUAUUGAUUAUUCUUGAGGAAUCAUCUGCUCCUCCCCUUUAAAGUAAUAGAAUACUAAAAAAAAAAAAUGCCUUUACUUCAUCAAUUACCUACUUUAUACAGUUGGAGACAUUUAUAUAGCUCUUUGCCUAUGUUUUGGUGCGGCAAGAUUGACUCACCUGAUGAGAACCAGGGUCUCCUUUUGUUUCAAGUAAAUCCUGAGUUAUGAGAAGAGGCUCGCUUUUCCCACAGCUCUCCUGGCUGAGGAGCGUGUCGGCAUAGUUGGGCUGGGGGAAGAUCACAUGACUCUCCCUGGAGUCUGCCCUGAGGGAGACCUCCUGGGAAUAGGUCUGCAGGAAAGCUCGCACCCCAUCCAUGCCCACAAAGUGCGAGGCUGGCACUCCAGCCAAUCCGACCCCCACAGCCUGGAGCUGACGCGAAGUGUGCCAGCGCCUCAGCCUGAGCGCCAGCAGAACAAUGACAAAGGCAAGGAAGACACAGGAAACUGUGGCCACCGCCACCACCAGGUACAGCGUGAGGCUAGAGUCAUCAGCAUAGGCUGAGGGCUUGAGGCUGCUCAGGUCAGCCAGGACUUCUGGAAUGCUUUCAGCCACCGCCACUGUGAGUGUGACAGUGGCUGAGAGAGGGGGUUGGCCGUGGUCCUGCACCGCCACCACCAGACUCUGCUUGAGCGCAUCUCUGUCCAGCAGGGCCCGUGCAGUGCGCACCUCGCCCGUGUGCAGCCCCACCGUGAAGAGCCCUGGCUCGCUGGCCUUGAGUAGACGGUAGGACAGCCAGGCGUUCUGGCCAGAGUCUCUGUCCACCGCCACCACCUUGGUCACCAGGUAGCCAGGCUCUGCUGAUCGGGGUGCCAGCUCCACGCCUAUGGAACCGUCAGUGGGGAGAGCAGGGUACAGGAUUUCAGGGGAAUUGUCGUUCUGAUCCAGAACAAAAAUACUCAAGGACACAUUGCUGCUGAGUGGAGGGUCCCCACUGUCACUGGCUGUCACUAGUAGUUGCAGGUCUCUAACCUGCUCAUAGUCGAAAGAGCACAAUGCAUACAGGACACCAGUAUCAGAGUUGAUGGAAACAUAGAAGGAGAGAGGCAUCCCGUGGAGUGUGUCCUCAGCUAAGGAGUAAGUUACUCUGGCAUUCUCAAUGCUGUCAGGGUCCUGGGCAGACAUGGAUAAAAUGGAAGCUCCUCUAGGGUUGUUUUCAGGAAUGUAGGCAGAGUAGGAAGCAUGAGGGAAAGUAGGUGGGUUGUCGUUGAUGUCUGCCACAUGCAAUGAGAUGUGAGUUUCUGUAGACAGUGGUGGAGUUCCAUGAUCAGUGGAAGUUACUGUGAUGUUAUAUUCUGAGACUUCUUCCCUAUCCAGUGUUCUUUGUGUCGACAGACGAUGAUAAUUUCCAUAGGUCUUUUCAAGUGUGAAUGGCAGAUUAUCCAGAAUAGAACAUGUGACAAGGCCAUUCUCUCCUGAAUCACUGUCAUGCACAUUGAAAAGUGCAAUUACUGUACCUGGGGAAGAAGUUUCUUGGAUAGAGCUGGUGAGAGAUGUAACUGUGACUUCUGGAGCAUUGUCAUUUACAUCCAGAACUGUCACCAGAACUUUACUUCUGGCUCGGAGACCAGGUCCAUCAUGGGCUUCUACAUCUAUAUCAUAGAAUCCAGAGUCUUCAUAAUCUAGAUCCCCCACUAUUGUUAUGUCCCCAGUCAAAGAAUUCAACUGGAAUAGUUGGGACAUUUUAUCACUCACUUUGCGGAAAGAAUAUGUUACUUCUCCAUUGGCUCCUUCAUCUGGAUCAGUGGCCUUUACAGUGAGUAGCCAGUAGCCCACUGGCACAUUCUCCGGAACAUUCACGUGGUACUCUGGCUGAGUAAAUACAGGAGCAUUGUCGUUGGUAUCCACAAGAGUUACAUGAAUCUCGACAGUGCCAGAGCGAACCAGGUCGCCUCCAUCAAAGGCGGUGAGGAGGAGGUGGUGAACCGCCUCUUCUUCUCUAUCUAGGGCAAGCUCCAGCACCAGCUCAGGGUACUUAAUGCCAUCCACUCCACUUUGCACGUCUAGGGAGAAGUGAACAUUUGAACUGAGCUGGUAACCCUGCAGGGAGUUGACCCCUACAUCUGGAUCAAAAGCUUCAGGAAGAGGAAAUCUUGUCCCAGGAUUUUCAUUUUCAGCGACUUUUAUUUCCCUUUGCUCUAUCCCAAAGUUGGGUGCAUUAUCAUUAACAUCGAUUAUUUCCACUUCUACUCCAAAAAUCUUCACUUUGUCCUCCAGAAGAAUCUCCAGGCUUACUACACACUUUGGAGAUCUCUCACAGAGCUCUUCCCGGUCUAUCUUACCCGCGGUGACCAAGCUGCCGCUUCGAGGGUUCAGAGCAAAGAGAUGCGUCCUACCUCUGGAGAUGAUGCGGACUCCCCGCUCUGACAGUUCCCGGGGCUCCAGUCCCAGGUCCUUGGCGAUGUUGCCCACAUAAGAGCCUUUGUCCAGCUCUUCAGGCACCGAGUAUCGUAUCUGUUCCGCCUGUAUUUCCCACAAAGCCCCCAGGAGAACGCAGAUCCUGACCAGCCGGCUGCAGUCUGGCCGAUAAGGAGGAGCCGCCAUUGCAGCCCCGCUGCGGAAUAGCUUGCACUUGGGUGCUCCCUUAGUGGAGGUCAGAGGAGCCCCAGAAUCUUCAGGGUCCAAGAUUAUGUGCUUUCACCGUUGGAUGAUGGAGUUCUGGGGUCCAGUCUGAAGCUUCCCAAAGCCACAGGGCUAGUGCUUUGUGAUGCAGAAAUCUUGUGGUUUGGAUUAAAUUCCUUGUUGUCUUUUUCCCCUGACUGGUGAACAGCGACACUCAGAGUCCUAACCUGUUACUGCAAUCUAUUCUUGGUAAAGAAAAGAAGUUUAUACCAUUUCUUUUCCAUAAUUUAUUUCUCCCCAAAAGAAUAAAAUUCAAGCUCCCAUUAUUUUAUUUGUAAUAAAAAUCUAGGCUUGACCCAAAUGUUACUGUACAAUAAGCCCUCUAAAGUAAUUUAUUUCUUUUUAAAGAAAAUAUGGUGAUUUUUUCUAACAAUUUUUUCUCUUCUAAGUUUUUCCAUUAUUUAUUUUCAUAGCCCAUUUUCAGUACAGUGCAUUGUGUGAGUGACACAUUUAUCCUUUACAGGAACAAGGAUUAACUUGAAGAAUGAAAGAAUAGGUGAAAAAACAGUGUCAGGUCAGGGAAGUUGGAGGUCUGAGCUCUAGUCCCUUCCUAUCCAGAAACAAAUUCCCUCACAUGAGUUGACCCUUUAAAGUAUGGGCAACUUUUCAAUUCUCUUGUAAAAAACAUCUACUGUUCAAGAGCUAGUCUUACCCCUGAGCAAAUGGGGUUGGCAAAUAUGAUAAUAGGUUUGGGAAGGUAAUUGGUUUAUUAAUUUUGUAUAAAGAAAAUUUUAGAUCACAGCUAUGUUUGUGACUAUCAUGUUCACAGUCUGUCCUCAAAUUUUAGAACAGCACCUUUCAUAGAGUAGAUACUCAGUUUUUCAUUGUUUAAUGAGUGCAUCACUAAUAUAAACGCAAAGCCCUAAAACAAUUGGUCAAUAACUCUGAUAUUAAAAAUAAAUAAUAAAGAUAAAAAAGACAGAAAAGUUAAACUGAAGUUUUGUAUGUAAACAGCAGACAAUAUUCAGUACCACAUAAAGACACAUCCAGAAAGUAUUAUUUUACUAUUAUCUAUAAGUUUACUUUAAGUUUGAUUUUAGAAAUAACCACUAAAAGGAAAGUUUUCAUAUAUAUACGUGUGUGUGUGUGUGUGUGUGUUACCAUUGCAUGUUUCAGAGUUUUCUUACACAUGAAUACUUUGAGUAACUUACUAAUCGUAGAAAACUUAAUAUAAAGCAGCAAGUAGCCAGUUCUUUAGAUUUUUCCUCACAUAAUAAUUACCUUCUAGAAGUUACUUAUGAAUUCUAUCAGACAAGAAAGGCUAUUGUUUAUUCAGAAUAUUAAAGUCAUCAAAUUUUGGAGAGCAUACUAAAGGUAAUUUUCACAAUCCUCAAAGAACUCACAAAUUGUUGGGGAUUAAGAGGUAAAAUGAGGUGUUUCAAAAAACUUUGACUCACUUCUCAGAAACCUAUACUAAAAAAAAGAAUUAAGAAAGAGGCUUUAUACACAAAAAGGCUCAUUACAUUCCUCAUCAUAACAGCAACAAAGUAGAGGGUAUAAAAAUAAGUUAUUACAUAAUGGUUAAGAAGGUUAUUUUUCAAUAUAUUUUUUAAAGUUUAUUUUUGAGAGAGACAUAGCAAGCAAAGGAAGGGCAGAGAGAGGGAGAGAGAAUCCUAAGCAGGCUCCACACUACCACUACAGAGCACAACACAGGGCUCAAACUCACCAACUGUGAGAUCAUGACCUGAGCCAAAAUCAAGAGUUGGAUGCUUAACUGACUGAGCCAUCCAGGUGCCCCAAGAUAGUUAUUUUUUAAAAGAUUUUAUUUUUAAGGAAUCUCUACACCCAGCAUGGGGCUUGAACCCACAAACCCUAGAUGGAGAGUCAUAGGUUCUACUAACUGAGCAAGACAGGUGCCCCCCAAAAUUAUUUUUGAAUGAGACUACGGAGUGGGAAUAAAAUUCACUGGAAACUAGUGAUCCAAAUCACUGUUUGCCACAUGUGAGAAGGCAAAGAAGUGCUAAGAAACUUAACUCUUGGAAAGUUCUAUUAAAAAUACACAUUGCAACAAAAAGAUGAAAAAACUAUAAUAGAUUUGAUGGACUUUAACUUAAGCAGGAAGGACUGUCAGUACAUUUAUGUAGAAUAAAGUUUGAAAAAAACAGUAUCACACAUCAACUAAGAAAGGACAAUACUCUUACUAAAGGUGGUGACAUCCCAGAACGAGCUCUCCUUACCAAUAUUUUUUGAUCAUACAAAAUUGCCAACAGUACAGAUUGAGAAAUACUAAUUAUGUAACUGCCAAGACUAUUGGGCAAAUAAGGAACCAGUCCCCGCCCAUCCAAUAAACCUCUUCUACCACUACCAUCACUAGGAAAAUGAAAAACAAUAAACAAAAGAAUUAUGCACAAUUGAGAAUAAAAGCAUGUUUGCAGAAACUCACGUGAGAGGCAAAAGACGAGUCAUAAGCGAUUUGGGGGUCUUCACUGCGGGCACAUACAUCCAUACAAGGAUCUUCACAAAGAAGAUCCUGAGGCGGAGUCAUUUCUGGUUUCAGGUUGGAAAAAUUAAACUCUGUCUUGGCUGAUUGUGAGGCAGCGCACAGAUUGUAGGAAUAAGGCAAAGUCCCUUCUCUGUAAUCGGGGAGAACCCCAGGUCCAGAUUUGGAACGGAGACCUGACUGAAAGCAGCCCCAGGCAGCAGGGCUUGGGGAGCGGCGCAGGCGCAGGGCCACCGCCAGAAUCACCGCAAGGAGGAAGAGCACCGAGAUCAAGGCCAAAGCCACCACCAGGUAAAACUGCAGCUCGGCCUGGGGGUCAGAGGGCUCCGGGCGGUCGCUGACAUCCGGCAGUACUUCUUGGAGGCUGUCGGCGAAAACCAGGUGCAGCGUCGCGGUGGCAGAGAGGGGCGGCUGUCCCCCGUCCCGCACGGCGACCAGCAGGCGCUGGCGGGCCGCGUCCCUGUCGCCCAAAGCACGCGCAGUGCGCACCUCGCCCGUGCGCAGCCCCAGGCUGAAGAGUCCGGGCUCGCUGGCCUGCAGCACGUGGUACGACAGCCACGCAUUGUGUCCCGAGUCGGCGUCCACCGCCACCACCUUGGUGACCAGGUAGCCGGGCUGCGCGGCGCGCGGCACCGUGUCGAAGAGCGCCGAGCCGUCGGGCCCCAGCGCCGGGUACAGCACCCUAGGCGCGUUGUCGUUGCGGUCGCCCACCAACACGCGCAGGCUCACGUUGGCGCUGAGCGCGGGCGAGCCCUGGUCGCGGGCCUGCACCGUCAGCUCGAAGGCGCGCAGCUGCUCGUGGUCGAAGGCGCGCUGCGCGAACACCACGCCGCUCUGCGCGCUCACGGACACGUAGGACGCCAGCGCCCGCGGCUCCAGGUCGCUGGCCACGAUGGAGUAGGACACGCGGCCGUUGGGUCCCAGGUCGGGGUCGGAGGCGCUGACUUGGGCGAUGGAGGCUCCUGGAGGGUUGUUCUCCAUCACGCGGACCACAUAGGAGGCCUGGUGGAAAACCGGCGCGUUGUCGUUGACAUCGCUGAUUUGCAGGGUGACGCCUGUACUGGAGGAUAGGGAUGGCUUGCCCUCGUCAGUGGCUGUGAUGGUGACAUUGUACUCUGCCAUCUGUUCCCUAUCUAGGGCAUUGUCAAUCACCAACUUGUAAUAAUUCUUGGAGGUGGAUUCUAAUUUGAAGGGAACUUCUUCCUGAAUAUAGCACCUCACCAGUCCAUUUUCCCCAGAGUCUCGGUCUCUCACUUUAAAGAGAGCUAUUACGGUUCCAAUGUCUGAGUCCUCGGGAAUCUGGUUAGAAAAGGACAUCAACGUGACCUCUGGGGCAUUGUCAUUCUCAUCAACAAUUUCAAUCUGAACAUUACAGUGAGCGGUGUGUACCCCUCCAUCCUUGGCCUCUACACUCAACAUAUAACUACUGGUCUCUUCAAAGUCCAAUGUACCAUUGGUUGUAAUGUCACCAGUAUUUGGGUUGAGAUUGAAGAGAAGGCUGGUACUUGUUGGGGCAUUGAGGAAGGCAUAGGUAAUCUCUGCAUUAACGCCCUGGUCCUGGUCGGUGGCCAUCACUUGCAACACAGAAGUCCCCCAGGGCACGUUUUCUUGGAUGUUAACUCUGUAUGUGUCCUGGCUGAACAAUGGAGCAUUAUCAUUGGCAUCAGUGACCUGAAUCUGGAUCUGGGUGGUUCCACUUAACGGAGGGUCUCCACCAUCUAUGGCAGUCAGGAUUAACUGGUAGGAACUCUGCUGUUCUCUGUCCAGAGGUUUUUCCAGCAGUAAUUCUGGGUAUUUACUCCCAUCAGGACUUCCCUUCGUUGUCAGGGAGAAAUGUUCAUUGGGGUUGAUAGUGUAUAUCUUCAGGGAGUUACUUUCUACAUCUGCAUCUUGUGCAGAAUCCAGAGGGAAUUUUACACCUGGUAAGGCUGACUCGCAGAUCUCCAAGUCAAUGCCUUUUGCAAUGAAACGUGGUGCAUUGUCGUUAAUAUCUUGGAUUGUAACAAUCACAUGGAAAACAUUCAUGGGAUUUUCAGCGACCAUUUCAAAUUCUAGUGCACACUCGGAUUUCCUCCCACAAAUUUCCUCUCGAUCUAUCCUACCGUUCACUAACAAAUCCCCACUCUCUGCACUCACACUGAAGAAAUUCUCUGCACUAACCCGCAGUUUUCGAGCUGGCAACUCCUGGACACUGAGCUUCAAGUCCUUGGCGACGUUCCCCACUCGCAAGCCUUUAGCCAGCUCCUCUGGAAUUGUGUACUGGAUGUGCUGGGAGAUAGUCCCCCACAACAAAGACAGCAGGAAGAGAAACAGUACCUGAAUUUUCAUCCAUUUGGCUUUUCUGGAGCUUCUUUGCAUUUUUUGAACUCUCCGGGAAGCUUCUUUUCAGGAUGUCUCUGGGAUGUUUAAAAAAAAUCAGUGACAGCACCUAGACUUUUGUGAUUUGAGGGUAGGACGUGUUUGUCAGGAACUGGUGGGUGCACUGGCGCUGCCUCCGAGUUCUGAUGUGCGCAAGACAAAGCAGGAAAACACUGCCCAACUUUCACGCAGAACUGAGAACCCCCUUCUUCCCUUCGGUCAACAGCGGCGCUCAGAGGUUGUCUGGGAGAACUGCAUAUUGCGGAGCCAUUUACUCUCAAAGGGUAAGCUCUUUAUGUAUGUUGUCUUUUUAUUUGGUGUAAAAAAACCAAAUACUCAUUUUUCUCCUCUAAAUUGGAUAUUUUCUAUCUUUAUUAUUUCAUACGUGUUGCCAUCAUUUUACAUUCUUUUUUGUAUUAAAAAAUUUCACAUGGCAUACAACCAUUUUUUUUUUUCAGUUUUGGGGGCAAAAAUAUCUUUAAUGAUUCCACUGUAUUUACAAACACUGGCAUGACUAGUAUGGAUGUAACCAAAAAAUUACUGGCUUUUUACCCACAUUUGAGCGGAUACUAUGAUCCUUACAUUUUUGUAAAAUGCAUAACCUCCCUUAUUUUGACUCUCUCCAUAAAUAUGUUGUCAACUCAGUAAUAUUUUUCAAAGAUACAGUCUUUGCAAAAAAAAGAGUGAAUCAAGACCCUAGACUUAUUUUAAUAUAUUGCUCAAUUUUUUAAAACAUAGGUAAUCUUCCCAUUAAGUACAGCACAGCACAGCCUAAUAUUUUAAAGUGACUAAUUUAGUACACCUGCUUUUAUACAGCUGAAUCUUGUGAAAGAUUUAUUUUACUUAUUUUUAUGCAAUCAGUGCUUUUUACUAUAUUAAUGUAUAUACAACCUCCAUAAUCCCAAUACUCAGCUCCAGCUGAUUUAUACCAUUUAUACCAUUGAAUUUAUACCAAUGAAUUUGACUUGAUCACUAGUAAAUAUUGGAGAGGCAUUGAGAAUCCUUAGACACUUCAUUUUGGAACUUAGCCUUUGAUCUCUGAACUCAUAUUGGGUAACUAAAGCAAAUACCUUUAUUUCAAAUGCACUGCUAAAUUAUAUACCAAUGUAGUGAUUUAUUCCACUGCUUUGCACCCACCAUACUCAUAUUACACCCCAGUCAAAACAGAUGAUUAUCUAUUUUCCAAAGAUGUUAUUUUCAUUUUUUUCUCUACCUCAUGACUUUAUAUUUUCUGUUCCUUUUGCCAUAAAUCCUCCACCUUUCUGUUGUAAUGAAUUCUUGCCCAUCCUUUUAAAUGUAGUUUUUGGUGGGGGCACCUGGAUAGCUCAGUCGGUUGAGCAUCUGACUUCGGCUCAGGUCAUGAUCUCACGGCUCGUGAGUUCGAGCCCCACAUUGGGCUCUACGCUGACAGCUUAGAGCCUGAAGCCUCCUUCUGAUACUGUGUCUCCCUUUCUCUCUGCCCUCCCCCUCUUGGGUUCUGUGUGUCUCUCUCUCUCUCUAAAAUAAAUAACUUCUAAAAAAAAUUUUUAAGUCCUGUAUGGUGAAAAUGGAAUAUCUGAGACUUUUCAUUAUCUAUACAAGUAGAUAGAAAUUGUACUGCCUUUGUACUAUCUGUACACUUUCACAAUAUUUAGAUAAAUGUUAUUUAUCUAAUAUUUAGGCUUUGUUUUAUAUAGGAUUCUUAGAAAAUUCUCUUUGAGUAUCUAGAGUUCCUGUGGCACUAUCCAUUUAAUAAUUUUUCUCUUUAUGAGGAAAGUGAUACUAGUAUUAUAAAGAUUUUUCCUUAAAGAAGGUAUUUUGAAGAUUAUGGGCCUUUUUUCCUGUACUGUAUUGCACGUUUGAGUGACAAUAUGCCUUUCUCUGCUCCAGUUAUUUUGCUCAGGCCCCACGUCUCACACUCUUGAAUAUGUAUCUAAUAUAUUGAGGGAGAUAUUGGUUCCUUUAUUUGAAUUCUAAUGAAUUAUAUUUGGUCUCAUUUUGUUUGACUCUCUGAGGUGAUUUCAUGGGUGAAUAUAAUUUCAUAAAUUUCAAAAUAGGCCAACAAUUUCUGGCUCAAAAGACUUGUAGGACUCCUAUUCCAUUGUUGGAGUGGCUGGUCUGGAAAUCUCCUGCUGAGGCUGAGACAUAUCUCCUUGCAUUUUUUAAAAAUCCUUCUCAAAGGACAAGACAUGCCACUCCAAGGCUCAUAAUGAUUUAGGCAAUUGACCUUCCCACCUUCAAGCAAAAGGCUGAAAUCAGUAUGAGUGCACACAAUCACCCACACAUACUUUCGGUAUACAUAGUAAGGACUACAGGACAGGUAAAACCAUUUGACCAAUCUGUACAUUUUUUUACCCAACAAUUUUUAUGUCAUUGAGAUGAAGAGUUUGGCCUGGCUUGGUAGGAGCUGAGCAUCAUUUUAUUGGAGACUAAAAUAUCUAAUAUUCAUAUUUUUUACUUGUAUCAGUCAGGAUAAGCUAAGUAGUUGGAGUGACAAACUUCAAAUCACAGGAAGUUAAGAUGAAGGUCUAUUUAUCACAGGUAUACACAUCAAUGUAGGACAACCACAGGGCUCUUUCUUGGUGUAGUUAUUCAAGCAAUAAGGUAGAAGGAAGAGUCACAAUUUCAAAAAAUAACUUAGAGAUCUGGAAAUUCUUGCAAUGCCAUCGGGAGCUUUCCCCAGGGAGAAGCACAUAUUACCUUCAUUUACAAUAUAUUGGCCAGAACUAGUUACCUACACCCACUCGGUCAUAACCAGGUCAGGAAGAUCUGCUCUACCAACCGCCCAAAAGAAGAGAGGAACUAAUUAUUUAAACAACAGAACUAAUGACUACCGUGUUGCUUUAUUUUCAAAUAAAUGUAUAUUAAAUAUUUAUAAAAUCACACUGGCAUAACUGUUCUUUAUAAUAUUCCAAUAAAGAAAUAAACCUACCUCGAGUAGGUUGGGGUCUCCUUUCGUUUCCGGUAAAUCUUGAGAUACCAGGAAAGACUCGCUUUUCCCACAGCUUUCUCCGCUGAGGAGCGUGUCGGCAUAGUUGGGCUGCGGGAAGAUCACGUGACUCUCCCGGGAGUCCGCCCUGAGGGAGACCUCCUGGGAAUAGGUCUGCAGGAAAGUGCGCACCCCAUCCACGCCCACAAAGUGCGUGGCGGGCACGCCAGCCAAUCCAACCCCCGCAGCCUGGAGCAGACGGGACGAGUGCCAGCGCCUCAGCCUGAGUCCCAGCAGCACGAUCACAAAGGCCAGAAAGAUGCAGGAGACUGCAGCCACCGCCACCACCAGGUACAGCGUGAGGUCAGAAUCGUCUGGGUCGGCGGCUGUCCUGAUGCUGCCCAGAUCGGCCAGGACGUCUGGGAUGUUGUCAGCUACGGCCACGGUGAGCGUGACGGUGGCCGAGAGAGGGGGCUGGCCGUGGUCUUGCACAGCCACCACCAGGCUUUGCUUGAGCGCAUCUCUGUCCAGCAGGGCCCGUGCAGUGCGCACCUCGCCCGUGUGCAGCCCCACCGUGAAGAGCCCUGGUUCGCUGGCCUUGAGUAGACGGUAGGACAGCCAGGCGUUCUGGCCAGAGUCUCUGUCCACCGCCACCACCUUGGUCACCAGGUAUCCGGGCUCUGCGGAUCGGGGCGCCAGCUCCACGCCUGUGGAACCAUCAGUAGGGAGAGCGGGAUACAGGAUUUCUGGAGCAUUGUCGUUCUGGUCCAGCACGAAUAUGCUCAGUGACACAUUGCUGCUGAGGGGUGGGUUCCCACUGUCACUGGCUGUCACCAAUAGCUGCAGGUCUCUAACCUGCUCGUAGUCAAAGGAACGGAGAGCAUACAGGACACCGGUGUCGGAAUUGAUGGAGACGUAAGUGGAUAGAGGCGCCCCCUGGAUGGUAUCCUCAGUCAGUGCGAAAGUGAUGUGGGCGUUCUGGAUGCUGUCGGGAUCCUGGGCGGUCACACAGAAGAUGGAAGCUCCCCUGGGGUUGUUUUCCGGAAUGUAGGCUGAAUAGGAGGCCUGACUGAAAGCAGGUGGGUUGUCAUUGAUGUCUGCAACAUGCAGAGUGAUAUGAAUGUUCGUAGACAGUGGGGGGCUUCCUCCAUCUGUGGCUCUGAGAGUGAUGUUAUAUUCAGACACCUGUUCACGAUCCAGAGAUCUGGCUGUCACUAAGCGGUAAUACUGGUCUAUUGAUUUUUCUAAAUUAAAUGGCACAUUUCCCAGGACAAAAACUGUGACUUGUCCAUUUUGCCCAGAAUCUCGGUCAUGCACAUUGAUAAGGGCAAUUUCUCUUCCAGCAGUAGCCUCUUCUGGGACUGAUUCAGUAAGAGAAGUGAUUGUUACUUCUGGGGCAUUGUCAUUCACAUCCAGAACUGUGACUAAAAUCUUAGCUCUUGAAAGGAGACCAGGUCCAUCUUGUGCUUCAAUUUUAAUUUCAUAGAACAUAGCAUCCUCAUAAUCUAGACUUUUUAAUAUUGAUAUAUCUCCAGUCACUGAAUUGAGAUAAAAAAUCUCAGCGACUUUCCCAGGCAUUUUAUCUAGAAUAUAGGACACUUGAGCAUUGAAUCCUUCAUCAGGGUCAGUGGCAUUCACUGUGAGCAGUGUGGUACCCACUGGCAAGUUCUCUUGAAUACUUAAUUGAUACUCAGAUUGAGUAAAUACUGGUGGGUUGUCAUUUGCAUCCAAAACUAUCACUUGGAUGUACAAGUUGCCAGAGUGGACAGGAUUCCCACCAUCAGAAGCAAUGAGGACAAGCUGAUGAACUUUCUUUUGUUCACGGUCCAGAGCCCUCUCCAACACCAGCUCUGGGUACUUUGUCCCAUCAGAGACAUGCUUCACAGUCAGAGAAAAGUAGUCAUUGGGGUGGAGAUGGUAGUUCUGAAGGGAGUUCAUGCCCACAUCUGGGUCAAAUGCAGUCUUAAGUGGAAAUCGAGUUCCAGAAGCCGCUAGUUCGCCAAUUUUUAUUUCCAAUUUCUCUGUUAGAAAAUCAGGAGCAUUAUCAUUAAUGUCUUUAAUUUCUAUUUCUACUUCAAAAAUUUUCAAUUUGUCUUCUACAAGGACGUUAAAUUUUACAAGACACAGCGCACUCUGAGCGCAGAGCUCCUCCCGGUCUAUCCUGCUUGCGGUGACCAAGCUGCCGCUUCGCGGGUUCAGAGCAAAGAGCUGCGUCCUACCUCUAGAGAUGAUGCGGACUCCACGCUCCGCCAGCUCCCAGGGCUCCAAUCCCAGGUUCUUGGAGAUGUUGCCCACAAAGGAACCUUUGUCCAUUUCCUCUUGCACUGAGUAGUGGAUCUGCCCAGAUCCAGUCUUGCAUAGCGUCCACAGAAGCACAAACAGCAGGGCCAAUCCUCUGCAGUGUCUGAAUCUCAGGUAUUUAGUCAUUUCUUCUUUGGUGAAUUAUUUUCUGUGAAUUCCGUUCCAACUACCCACGACGGACUCAAAUCAUAUUUGUUUUCAAGGAACUAAGCUUUUAAUGGUCCUAUUUUAUGGGUCACAGAGCUGGUUGACUAACAGGAUGAGCUUUGUAGCAGCUCGGAUCUUCUGGGGUCUGAUUGACUGGUUCUUUGCUUUUUAGGAACAAGGAAAUGGUGGACAAGCUCGCCAGCCCCGUUUUCCUCCUUGAGUGGUCAGCAGCG
rnacentral:lncRNA from 1 species